UUCAACUUUCUAGUCCAGUGACAGGCUCAUGGGCAGCAUCAGGAGAUGGUGUCUGCUCUUGCUUCUGCCCAAACAAGGAAGUCCCCUUCCUUAAGGAAAAUGCUUAAGACUGCCCAUGGCUCUGUAAAUGUGAUGUGAAAUAAAAUAAACAUAAAUAAGCCCUUGUA